rnacentral:rRNA from 1 species
GUUAAGCGACUAAGCGUACACGGUGGAUGCCCUGGCAGUCAGAGGCGAUGAAGGACGUGCUAAUCUGCGAUAAGCGUCGGUAAGGUGAUAUGAACCGUUAUAACCGGCGAUUUCCGAAUGGGGAAACCCAGUGUGAUUCGUCACACUAUCAUUAACUGAAUCCAUAGGUUAAUGAGGCGAACCGGGGGAACUGAAACAUCUAAGUACCCCGAGGAAAAGAAAUCAACCGAGAUUCCCCCAGUAGCGGCGAGCGAACGGGGAGCAGCCCAGAGCCUGAAUCAGUGUGUGUGUUAGUGGAAGCGUCUGGAAAGGCGCGCGAUACAGGGUGACAGCCCCGUACACAAAAAUGCACAUGCUGUGAGCUCGAUGAGUAGGGCGGGACACGUGGUAUCCUGUCUGAAUAUGGGGGGACCAUCCUCCAAGGCUAA